rnacentral:tRNA from 1 species
GCCUGGGUGGCUCAGUUGGUUAAGCAUCUGACUUCAGCUCAGGUCAUGAUCUCACGGCUUGUGAGUUCAAGCCCCGUGUCAGGCU